rfam:Hydrocarboniphaga effusa AP103 245_2, whole genome shotgun sequence.
GGAUGGUUAGCUCAGCGGUAGAGCAUCGCCUUCACACGGCGGGGGCCACAGGUUCGAUCCCUGUACCAUCCA